rnacentral:rRNA from 1 species
AGCGAACGCUGGCGGCAGGCCUAACACAUGCAAGUCGAACGAACUCUUCGGAGUUAGUGGCGGACGGGUGAGUAACACGUGGGAACGUGCCUUUAGGUUCGGAAUAACUCAGGGAAACUUGUGCUAAUCCCGAAUGUGCCCUUCGGGGGAAAGAUUUAUCGCCUUUAGAGCGGCCCGCGUCUGAUUAGCUUGUUGGUGGGGUAAUGGCCCACCAAGGCGACGGUCAGUAGCUGGUCUGAGAGGAUGACCAGCCACAUUGGGACUGAGACACGGCCCAAACUCCUACGGGAGGCAGCAGUGGGGAAUCUUGCGCAAUGGGCGAAAGCCUGACGCAGCCAUGCCGCGUGGAUGAUGAAGGUCUUAGGAUUGUAAAAUCCUUUCACCGGUGAAGAUAAUGACUGUAGCCGGAGAAGAAGCCCCGGCUAACUUCGUGCCAGCAGCCGCCGUAAUAC